rfam:Sarcophilus harrisii ctg7180001456878, whole genome shotgun sequence.
GCUGAGAAGUUUGAAAUCAGUCAGAUAAGUGCACAACUCAGGCAGGGUAAGUAACUAGACACUGUGGUGGGCCUGGAAGUUUAGAAUGUGAAUUUGGGUGGAGCUGCUGUGGGUGGAGAUCUUGGUGGUAGUAGCAAAUAUUCAAAUGAGAACUUUGAAGGCCGAAGUGGAGAAGGAUUCCAUGUGAACAGCAGUUCAAAAUGAGUCAGUUGGUCCUGAGAGAAUGCGAGCACAUUCCGAAGGGAAUGUUGCCCUCGGCCGAUCAAAAGGGAGUCAGGUUCAGAUUCCCAAAUCCGUAGUGAUUCCUCAGAUGACUCUGGAGAGAAUGAAUUUGGGGACUUUGCACAGCCCUGCCUCACUUAAAUCUAAUUCACUUGCAAGUCAAGGCAACACCUUCUUAAUGUCAUUGGUCCUCUUCAAGAAUCUAUUAAUUUUCCAAUUUCUUUGCUAUCACAAAAAGAGCUGCUACAAACAUUUUUGCACAUGUGAGUUCUUUUUCCUUCUUUAAAAUUUCCUUGGGAAACAGACCCAGUAAUGGUGUGAAGACCGUGUAUUUUUAAAUUAGCAGGAGUCAGGAAUUCAGGUUACGGGAAAAUCGUCAGUCUUUAUUCUCAGUGAAGAAGGAUCGGAGGUGGAAGAGAAUCGGCGAUAGCAAUGUGUGUAGCUGAGUCAAGAAGCUAGCUAGACCAGCA